AUUUAAGCAUAUUAAUGAGGGAAGGAAAAGAAACUAACAAGGAUUUUCUUAGUAGCGGCGAGCGAAAAGAAAUCAGUUCAGCACUUAGCCAUUUUGUCUUUAUGGCAAAUAUGGGAUGCAGUGUAUGGAACGUCUAUAAUCUAGUAUGAGAAAUUGACGAUUUAAGUCCUUCUUAAAUGAGGCCAUUUACCCAUAGAGGGUGCCAGGCCCGUAUAACGUUAAUGAUUACUAGAAGAUGUUUCCAAAGAGUCGUGUUGCUUGAUAGUGCAGCACUAAGUGGGUGGUAAACUCCAUCUAAAACUAAAUAUAACCAUGAGACCGAUAGUAAACAAGUACCGUGAGGGAAAGUUGAAAAGAACUCUGAAUAGAGAGUUAAAUAGUACGUGAAACUGCUUAGAGGUUAAGCCCGAUGAACCUGAAUAUCCGUUAUGGAAAAUUCAUCAUUAAUUUUAUAAUAUUUAUCAUAUUGUAAUAAUAGUGUGCAAUUUUUCCAUAUAAGGACAUUGUAAUCUGUUAAUGUAAUAAAUAUUUAUUAAAAGAUCUUAUACGUAAGUUUAUUUGAAUUAGUUAUUUUCGGAUUUCUAACAUAAAGUAAAUGUAUUUGAUUUAAUAAAUCAUUGACAGAUUUUAUUAUAUAUAGUGCUUAAAUUUUUUCGGAAAUUUUACAAUAGCAUGAUAAUUCUAUUUAUUAUGUUUAUUGUAUGCGCUUAUAUGAUUAACAAUGCGAUAGAUUCAGGAUACCUUCGGGACCCGUCUUGAAACACGGACCAAGGAGUCUAACAUAUGUGCAAGUCAUUGGGUAUUUUUAAUAAAACCCAAUGGCAUAAUUAACUUAACUGUUAUAUAUAUGGGAUUAGUUUAAAUUUUAUUAUGAAAUAUAAAUUCAAUCCCGGGGCGUUCUAUACAGUUAUGCAUAAUGGUAUUUAUAUUAUUUAUGCCUCUAACUAGAGCGUACCUUGAGCAUAUAUGCUGUGACCCGAAAGAUGGUGAACUAUACUUGAUCAGGUUGAAGUCAGGGGAAACCCUGAUGGAAGACCGAAACAGUUCUGACGUGCAAAUCGAUUGUCAGAAUUGAGUAUAGGGGCGAAAGACCAAUCGAACCAUCUAGUAGCUGGUUCCCUCCGAAGUUUCCCUCAGGAUAGCUGGUGCAUUUAAAAAUUAUGUAAAAUAAUCUUAUCUGGUAAAGCGAAUGAUUAGAGGCAUUAGGGUCGAAACGACCUUAACCUAUUCUCAAACUUUAAAUGGGUAAGAACCUAACCUUUCUUGAUAUGAAGGUUCAGGUUGUGAUAUAUUGUGCCCAGUGGGCCACUUUUGGUAAGCAGAACUGGCGCUGUGGGAUGAACCAAACGUAAUGUUACGGUGCCCAAAUUAACAACUCAUACAGAUACCAUGAAAGGCGUUGGUUGCUUAAAACAGCAGGACGGUGGACAUGGAAGUCGUAAUCCGCUAAGGAGUGUGUAACAACUCACCUGCCGAAGCAACUAGCCCUUAAAAUGGAUGGCGCUUAAGUUGUAUACCUAUACAUUACCGCUAAAGUAGAUGGUUUAUAUUUAAUUUCGAUUGAAUAUAAAUUUUGAAACUUUAGUGAGUAGGAGGGUACAAUGGUGUGCGUAAAAAUGUUUGGCGUAAGCCUGCAUGGAGCCGCUAUUGGUACAGAUCUUGGUGGUAGUAGCAAAUAAUCGAAUGAGACCUUGGAGGACUGAAGUGGAGAAGGGUUUCGUGUGAACAGUGGUUGAUCACGAGUUAGUCGGUCCUAAGUUCAAGGCGAAAGCCGAAAAUUUUCAAGUUUAAUAUUAAAUAGACAAUACCCAUAAAACAACAUUAAUUUGAUGUUUUACACAUAUUGAUAAUUUUUUAUUUCUAUACUUGAUUAUUAUUGAACGAAAGGGAAUACGGUUCCAAUUCCGUAACCUGUUGAGUAUCCGUUUGUUAUUAAAAAUGGGCUUUUUGCUCAUCCUGGCAACAGGAACGACCAUAAAGAAGCCGUCGAGAGAUAUCGAAAGAGUUUUCUUUUCUGUUUUAUAGUCGUACUACCAUGGAAGUCUUUCGAAGAGAGAUAUGGUAGAUGGACUAGAAGAGCAUGACAUUUACUGUUGUGUCGAUAUUUUCUCCUCGGACCUUGAAAAUUUAUGGUGGGAUCACGCAAACUUCUCAACAGGCCGUACCGAUAUCCGCAGCUGGUCUCCAAGGUGAAGAGUCUCUAGUCGAUAGAAUAAUGUAGGUAAGGGAAGUCGGCAAAUUAGAUCCGUAACUUCGGGAUAAGGAUUGGCUCUGAAGAUUGAGAUAGUCGGGCUUGAAUUGGAAGCAAUAACAUGGUUUAUGUACUCGUUCUGGGUAAAUAAAAAUCUUCGGAUUUUGUUCCCCGGAUAGUAGUUACGUAACCAAUUGUGGAAUUUUCUUGCUAAAAAUCUUAUUAAUGUACCGCAAGGUAUAUUCUUUUGAUUUAUAACGACUAUCAAUUAACAAUCAAUUCAGAACUGGCACGGACUUGGGGAAUCCG
rnacentral:rRNA from 1 species